AUGAUCAUCUUAGCCUGGAACUGCCGAGGAUUGGGGUUGGACUCGGCAGUGGGCGAGCUCCGGGACCUGAUUAGGUCAUACAACCCAGGGGUGGUGUUCUUAUCAUAAACGAAGAUGAGAGCGGGAGCGAUGGAGACGUUAAAAUGUAGAUUGGGUUUCAACAACGGAGUAGCGGUGGAGUGCAAAGCAAAAAGUGGAGGUCUCGCGCUAUGGUGGAGGGAUCAUGUACAAGUUACGGUUCGGCCGUGGUGCCAGUACUACAUCGACACACAAAUUGUGGAUGGCGGUGCCCCUUUCAGAUUCACUGGAAUCUAUGGGGAGCCUUGUAUUGAAAAAAGAACAAAACCAUGGGAGGUUCUCCGCUACCUUAGGAAGCAAGACAAUCUACCAUGGCUUUGCGCCGGCGACUUUAAUGAGGCACUAUGA
rnacentral:rRNA from 1 species